GACGAACGCUGGCGGCGUGCCUAACACAUGCAAGUCGAGCGAUGAAGCUCCUUCGGGAGUGGAUUAGCGGCGGACGGGGGAGUAACACGUGGGUAACCUGCCUCAUAGAGAGGGAUAGCCUUCCGAAAGGAAGAUUAAUACCCCAUGAGAUUGUAGUUUCGCAUGAAACGGCAAUAAAAGGAGCAAUCCGCUAUGAGAUGGACCCGCGUUGCAUUAGCUAGUUGGUAAGGUAAUGGCUUACCAAGGCGACGAUGCGUAGCCGACCUGAGAGGGUGAUCGGCCACAUUGGGACUGAGACACGGCCCAGACUCCUACGGGAGGCAGCAGUGGGGAAUAUUGCACAAUGGGGGAAACCCUGAUGCAGCAACGCCGCGUGAGUGAUGACGGUCUUCGGAUUGUAAAACUCUGUCUUUGGGGACGAUAAUGACGGUACCCAAGGAGGAAGCCACGGCUAACUACGUGCCAGCAGCCGCAGUAAAAC
rnacentral:rRNA from 1 species